UAGAGGAAGUAAAAGUCGUAACAAGGUUUCCGUAGGUGAACCUGCGGAAGGAUCAUUAAAGAAUUUAGGCUUUACCGCCAUAUUCUCACCCCUUGUAUAUGUAUACUACGUUGCCUUGGCAGGCUGGUAACAGCCUGCCGGUGGACCACAACUCUAGAAUCUUUGCCGUCUGAGUACUAUAUAAUAGUUAAAACUUUCAACAACGGAUCUCUUGGUUCUGGCAUCGAUGAAGAACGCAGCGAAAUGCGAUAAGUAAUGUGAAUUGCAGAAUUCAGUGAAUCAUCGAAUCUUUGAACGCACAUUGCGCCCUCUGGUAUUCCAGGGGGCAUGCCUGUUCGAGCGUCAUUACAACCCUCACGCCUAGCGUGGUCUUGGGCUCGCCCUGUAGGGCCUGCCUCAAAGUUAGUGGCGGCGUCGUCUGACCCCUAAGCGUAGUAAAAUACACCUCGCUUCUGGGUGUUGGAUGGAGGCUUGCCGUGAACCCCCAACUUUACAGGUUGACCUCGGAUCAG
rnacentral:rRNA from 2 species